rnacentral:rRNA from 1 species
GAUGAACGCUGGCGGCGUGCCUAACACAUGCAAGUCGAGCGAAGCGCUGUUUUCAGAAUCUUCGGAGGAAGAGGACAGUGACUGAGCGGCGGACGGGUGAGUAACGCGUGGGCAACCUGCCUCAUACAGGGGGAUAACAGUUAGAAAUGACUGCUAAUACCGCAUAAGCGCACAGGACCGCAUGGUGUAGUGUGAAAAACUCCGGUGGUAUGAGAUGGACCCGCGUCUGAUUAGGUAGUUGGUGGGGUAAAGGCCUACCAAGCCGACGAUCAGUAGCCGACCUGAGAGGGUGACCGGCCACAUUGGGACUGAGACACGGCCCAAACUCCUACGGGAGGCAGCAGUGGGGAAUAUUGCACAAUGGGGGAAACCCUGAUGCAGCGACGCCGCGUGAAGGAAGAAGUAUUUCGGUAUGUAAACUUCUAUCAGCAGGGAAGAAGAUGACGGUACCUGAGUAAGAAGCACCGGCUAAAUACGUGCCAGCAGCCGCGGUAAUACGUAUGGUGCAAGCGUUAUCCGGAUUUACUGGGUGUAAAGGGAGCGUAGACGGAUAGGCAAGUCUGGAGUGAAAACCCAGGGCUCAACCCUGGGACUGCUUUGGAAACUGCAGAUCUGGAGUGCCGG